AUACGGAGGGUGCGAGCGUUAUCCGGAUUCACUGGGUUUAAAGGGUGCGUAGGUGGGUAUGUAAGUCAGUGGUGAAAUCCCCAGGCUUAACCUGGGAACUGCCGUUGAUACUAUAUAUCUUGAAUGCCGUAGAGGUAAGCGGAAUAUGUCAUGUAGCGGUGAAAUGCUUAGAGAUGACAUAGAACACCAAUUGCGAGGGCAGCUUACUAUGCGGUUAUUGACACUGAGGCACGAAAGCGUGGGUAGCAAACAGGAUUAGCUACCCUGGUAGUCCACGCCCUAAACUAUGGAUACUCGACAUACGCGAUACACUGUGUGUGUCUGAGCGAAAGCAUUAAGUAUCCCACCUGGGAAGUACGACCGCAAGGUUGAA
rnacentral:rRNA from 1 species